rnacentral:sRNA from 1 species
GCUGGGUGCGGUGGUGCAGGCCUGUAAUCCCAGUGGCUCAGGAGGCCGAGACAGGAGGAUCACAAGUUCAAAGCCAGCCUCAACCAAGGUGAGGCCCUAAUCAAUUCAGUGAGACCCUGUCUCUA